GAGAGAGACAGAGAGCCAUGUGGUUGGACCUGGUGAAGAAAAGACUGAGCAGGGAAAUGCACCCCGUGAUGGGGCCUGUGUAGGACGUCCACCUGGUUCUUUGCAACUAUAGAAAGUUUUGCAAGAUGAAGGCGUUUCCUGCUUCUUUCUCAUGACCUCUCCUUUCUCUCCUAAUUUCCAGGACAGGAGAACUUUGCGAGGAUUGUAUCCAGUCUCAUCUUAGGGAGAAUUCAAACCAGGCAAGGGUUAUAGAAGAAAACUACCUUGAUAGUCAAAGAGUCAGAAGCCUCCUUCUCUUCCUCAGGGCCAAGGGUCAACACGUUCCUGGAAUAUAGACUGUCAAGUGGUGUCCACACUUGGACCUGGAGGGAAGAAGAGGAGCCCAAAGAGAACCUUCAGGCCAGCCACAGCCUUAGCCUUUAGAGAAGGGUCGUCCUCCUCUCACAGAGUGGACCUCCAGGAAAUGCUUUGCCUUUACCUAUGCUGCACAACGCUGGGGCUCUGCAGGGAUCACAACCAACUCUCCAGUCCAGGCCACCUGUCAGGUCCAAGUUCACCACAAUCAGCUUCCAAUUUGGGUCAAGUAGAACCUGACUUAGAGGAAGAAUUUGAAAAGGAUCUCAAAGCGUGUUCAUAAAGCCAGUAAAGAAGUUUCCGGCUCCUCCUUAACCCCUCUCUGAAUCUCAACCUCAGGAUCCAGGUGGUUGGGCCCUAGGUGGGUCAGUUGUGUUAUAUAAGAUAUUGUUUUGUUAUUUUUACAUUAUGUAAAUUAUGUGUCAUGUCAAAUGUCAUAAUCAAAAAGCAGAAAUUAAAAAUUAGUUUACACAAUGACCCAUAUUUAUGAGGACGAUAUUAAUGUAUGUCUAUUUCAUUCUUCCUGUCUCCUCCUGGUCUUGCCUUGCCAUGUUUACUCCAUAUUUGUCUUCUGUCUCUUCCAGUCAACUGAAGUAUCCCUUAUGGGGAUCGAACUCAGGACCUUGCACUUGCCAGGCAGGCACGGUGCCACUGAGCUACACCCCCAGCCUUUAAAGUCAAUUUAAAAUAAUAAUAAUGGAUGAUAUGUUUUCUGAGUCUCUGCAUAUCUCAGAAUGUCUUAUAUUUUUCCAUAAAUUAACAACAUAUUUUGUUGUAAUACAACUUCUAACCUUCAACUUUGACUUAAACUUGGUCCCACUAACUUUGGGCAUCUUGUUCUACAAUUCUGAAAUCUAAGUCUAGCCA